rnacentral:rRNA from 1 species
CAGCAGCCGCGGUAACACCGGCGGCCCGGAGUGGUGAUCGUGAUAUUGGGCCUAAAGGGUCCGUAGCCGGUUGGUCAGUCCUCCGGGAAAUCUGAUAGCUCAACUAUUAGGCUUUCGGGGGAUACUGCCAGACUUGGAACCGGGAGAGGUAAGAGGUACUACAGGGGUAGGAGUGAAAUCUUGUAAUCCCUGUGGGACCACCUGUGGCGAAGGCGUCUUACCAGAACGGGUUCGACGGUGAGGGACGAAAGCUGGGGGCACGAACCGGAUUAGAUACCCGGGUAGUCCCAGCCGUAACGAUGCUCGCUAGGUGUCAGGCAUGGCGCGACCGUGUCUGGUGCCGCAGGGAAGCCGUGAAGCGAGCCACCUGGGAAGUACGGCCGCAAGGCUGAAACUUAAAGGAAUUGGCGGGGGAGCACAACAACGGGUGGAGCCUGCGGUUUAAUUGGACUCAACGCCGGACAACUCACCGGGGGCGACAGCAAUAUGUAGGCCAAGCUGAAGACUUUGCCUGAAUCGCUGAGGGGAGGUGCAUGG